GAUGAACGCUGGCGGCGUGCCUAAUACAUGCAAGUCGAGCGAACAGACGAGGAGCUUGCUCCUCUGACGUUAGCGGCGGACGUGUGAGUAACACGUGGUUAACCUACCUAUAAGACUGGGAUACCUUCGGGAAACCGGAGCUACUACCGGUUAAUAUAUUGAACCGCAUUGUUCAAUAAUGAAAGUCGGUUUUGCUGUCCCUUAUCAAUGUUUCCGCGCCGCUUUAGUUAGUUGGUAAGGUAACGGUUUAGCAAGGCAACGAUGCGUGGCCGAGCUGCGAGGGGGGUCGGCUACACUGGAACUGAAACACGGCACAGACCACAACGGGAGGGAGCGGAAGGGAAAGUUCCGCAAUGGGCGAAAGGCGGACGGGAUAACGCCGCGCCAGGUAAAGAAGUCCGGGGAUCGGAAAACUCUGUUAUUAGGGAAGAACAAAAGUGUAAGUAACUAGGCACGUCUUGACGGUACCUAAUCAGAAAGCCCCGGCUAACUACGUG
rnacentral:rRNA from 1 species